rnacentral:lncRNA from 1 species
CUCGCUUGUGGCAUCGUCCUCAUUGCAGCGUGUCUUGCCAAGGUUUUGCCUUAAGCAGAGGAAGGAUGAAAAAUGCAGGGCCAGAGACUUUCUUACAGCUGAAAACCGCUGUCUGCUGCGCUGCUCCUCGGGACAGCACCGAGCAGGGAAACGCCCCCGCCACCCAGCAGUCAUUCUCUUCAUAGUGGGACAAGUGCAGAAUGGUGGAGGGGAAGCUCGGAUGGUGGUCCUGUCCAGGGAGAUGCAGCCUCAUGUCUCCCACCCUCCUCCGCUUUGAUGACUGAACGUGUAGGACCGGUAAAACUCAAAUUUCAGAAGGGCUUUUU